GAUUAACGCUAGCGGCAGGCCUAAUACAUGCAAGUCGAACGAGAUCCGGAAUAGCAAUAUUCCGGUGAGAGUGGCGGACGGGUGCGUAACACGUAUGCAACCUACCUUUAACUGGGGAAUAGCUCACCGAAAGGUGAAUUAAUACCGCAUAAAAUCACAAGAGGACAUCCUUUAAUGAUUAAAUCUACGGAGGUUAAAGAUGGGCAUGCGCCCGAUUAGCUAGUUGGCGGGGUAACAGCCCACCAAGGCAACGAUCGGUAGGGGGUCUGAGAGGAUGA
rnacentral:rRNA from 1 species